rnacentral:rRNA from 1 species
UACGUAGGGGGCAAGCGUUGUCCGGAUUUAUUGGGCGUAAAGAGCGUGUAGGCGGCCAGGUAGGUCCGGUGUGAAAACUCGAGGCUUAACCUCGAGAUGUCAUCGGAAACCAUCUGGCUAGAGUCCGGAAGAGGAAAGUGGAAUUCCUGGUGUAGCGGUGAAAUGCGCAGAUAUCAGGAAGAACACCAAUGGCGAAAGCAGCUUUCUGGGACGGUACUGACGCUGAGACGCGAAAGCGUGGGGAGCGAACAGG